GUAGAGCUACUGUUCAGGCUAGGGGGGUGCAUAACCUACCCUACCCAGACAAACUCCGAAUACCGUCGUUGAUAUCCUGGGAGUCAGACUACGAGGGAUAAGCUUCGUGGUCGAGAGGGAAACAGCCCAGAUUGGCAGUUAAGGCCCCUAAUCCAUGCUCAGUGUUACUAAGGAAGUGGGGUUGCAUAGACAGCUAGGAUGUUGGCUUAGAAGCAGCCA
rnacentral:rRNA from 1 species